GUUGUCCGGAAUUAUUGGGCGUAAAGAGCUCGUAGGCGGUUUGUCGCGUCUGCUGUGAAAACCUAAGGCUCAACCUUGGGCUUGCAGUGGGUACGGGCAGACUAGAGUGCGGUAGGGGUGACUGGAAUUCCUGGUGUAGCGGUGGAAUGCGCAGAUAUCAGGAGGAACACCGAUGGCGAAGGCAGGUCACUGGGCCGCAACUGACGCUGAGGAGCGAAAGCAUGGGGAGCGAACAGG
rnacentral:rRNA from 1 species